GAUGAAGAACGCAGCGAAAUGCGAUAAGUAGUGUGAAUUGCAGAAUUCAGUGAAUCAUCGAAUCUUUGAACGCACAUUGCGCCCGGUAGUAAUCUGCCGGGCAUGCCUGUCCGAGCGUCAUUUCAACCCUCGAACCACUAUUCGCGUAGCUGGAUCGGUGUUGGGGCACUACGGUGGAAUACCCGUAGGCCCCGAAAUGAAGUGGCGGUCCCGCCGCGGCGCCCCCAUGCGUAGUAACAUCUCGUCUCGCAUCGGGUCCCGGCGGAGGCCUGCCGUCAAGCCUAUUUUCUAAUUACAGAUGGUUUGACCUCGGAUCAGGUAGGGUUACCCGCUGAACUUAAGCAUAUCAAUAAGCGGAGGA
rnacentral:misc_RNA from 1 species